rnacentral:rRNA from 1 species
UACGUAGGUGGCAAGCGUUGUCCGGAAUUAUUGGGCGUAAAGCGCGCGCAGGCGGUCCUUUAAGUCUGAUGUGAAAGCCCACGGCUCAACCGUGGAGGGUCAUUGGAAACUGGGGGACUUGAGUACAGAAGAGAAGAGUGGAAUUCCACGUGUAGCGGUGAAAUGCGUAGAGAUGUGGAGGAACACCAGUGGCGAAAGCGGCGCGCUGGACCACUACUGACGCUGAGGAACGAAAGCUAGGGGAGCAAACAG